rnacentral:misc_RNA from 1 species
UAAUAAGUGUUUUAUGGCACUUUUUAAAUCCAUAUCCACCUUGUGUGCAAUGUCAGUCGAUCUUCUUCAUGGAGAUUGACCAAACAUCAACCUUUAUUUUUAACUCUUUGACUGAAAAAUAUUAUGAAUAAACAAUUCAAAAUACAACUUUCAGCAACGGAUCUCUUGGCUCUCGCAUCGAUGAUUCACUGAAUUCUGCAAUUCACAUUACGUAUCGCAUUUCGCUGCGUUCUUCAUCGAUGCGAGAGCCAAGAGAUCCGUUGCUGAAAGUUGUAUUUUGAAUUGUUUAUUCAUAAUAUUUUUCAGUCAAAGAGUUAAAAAAUAAAGGUUGAUGUUUGGUCAAUCUCCAUGAAGAAGAUCGACUGACAUUGCCACAGUGGAUAUGGAAGUUAAAAGUGCCAUAAACACUUAUGAUGAUCCUUCCGCUAGGUGCACCUAGCGGAAGGAUCAUUAAAGAGACGUUGCCCUUCGGGGUAUACCUCCCACCCUUUGUUUAUUAUACCUUUGUUGCUUUGGCGGGCCCGUCCUCGGACCACCGGCUUCUGCUGGUCAGUGCCCGCCAGAGGACCUAAAACUCUGUUUGUUAAUGUUGUCUGAGUACUAUAUAAUAGUUA